CGACGAUGAAGCCCAGCUUGCUGGGUGGAUUAGUGGCGAACGGGUGAGUAACACGUGAGUAACCUGCCCUUGACUCUAGGAUAAGCCCGGGAAACUGGGUCUAAUACUGGAUAGGAACGUCUACCGCAUGGUGGAUGUUGGAAAGAAUUUCGGUCAUGGAUGGACUCGCGGCCUAUCAGCUUGUUGGUGAGGUAAUGGCUCACCAAGGCGACGACGGGUAGCCGGCCUGAGAGGGUGACCGGCCACACUGGGACUGAGACACGGCCCAGACUCCUACGGGAGGCAGCAGUGGGGAAUAUUGCACAAUGGGCGAAAGCCUGAUGCAGCGACGCCGCGUGAGGGAUGACGGCCUUCGGGUUGUAAACCUCUUUCAGUAGGGAAGAAGCGAAAGUGACGGUACCUGCAGAAGAAGCACCGGCUAACUACGUGCCAGCAGCCGCGGUAAUACGUAGGGUGCGAGCGUUAUCCGGAAUUAUUGGGCGUAAAGAGCUCGUAGGCGGUUUGUCGCGUCUGUCGUGAAAGUCCGGGGCUUAACCCCGGAUCUGCGGUGGGUACGGGCAGACUAGAGUGCAGUAGGGGAGACUGGAAUUCCUGGUGUAGCGGUGGAAUGCGCAGAUAUCAGGAGGAACACCGAUGGCGAAGGCAGGUCUCUGGGCUGUAACUGACGCUGAGGAGCGAAAGCAUGGGGAGCGAACAGGAUUAGAUACCCUGG
rnacentral:rRNA from 1 species